GAUGAACGCUGGCGGUGCGCCUAACACAUGCAAGUCGAACGAGACCCAAAAAGAGUUUACUUUUUUUGGUGACAGUGGCGGACGAGUGAGUAACACGUAAGAACCUGCCCCGUACUCAGGGAUAACACGCCGAAAGGUGUGCUAAUACCGGAUGCCCUCUUCGGAGGAAAGAUUUUUCGGUACGGGAGGGGCUUGCGGCCUAUCAGCUAGUUGGUAAGGUAAAAGCUUACCAAGGCGAUGACGGGUAGCUGGUCUGAGAGGAUGAUCAGCCACGAUGGAACUGAGACACGGUCCAUACUCCUACGGGAGGCAGCAGUGAGGAAUCUUCCGCAAUGGGCGAAAGCCUGACGGAGCGACACCGCGUGGUGGAUGACGGCCCUAUGGGUUGUAAACACCUUUUAUGAGGGAAGAAGAUCUGACGGUACCUCAUGAAUAAGCCCCGGCUAAUUACG
rnacentral:rRNA from 1 species